rnacentral:rRNA from 1 species
GAACCUUGGUAGUAAUACUUUGGCUCUUAGUGGCGAACGGGUGAGUAACGCGUUGGUGACCUACCCCAAAGUGGGGGAUAACAGAUCGAAAGGUCUGCUAAUACCUCAUGUUGUCAUCGUUUUUAGAAAGCGAUGACCAAAGGAGCAAUCCGCUUUGGGAGGGGCCUGCGUCCCAUCAGCUAGUUGGUAGGGUAAUGGCCUACCAAGGCAUCGACGGGUAAGGGACCUGAGAGGGUGGCCCCUCACAAUGGAACUGAAACACGGUCCAUACACCUACGGGUGGCAGCAGUAGGGAAUAUUGCACAAUGGGCGAAAGCCUGAUGCAGCAACGCCGCGUGUAUGAUGAAGGCCUUCGGGUCGUAAAAUACUUUUCAGGGAGAAGAGAAAGGACUGUACCCCUGGAAUAAGUCUCGGCUAACUACGUGCCAGCAGCCGCGGUAAAACGUAGGAGGCGAGCGUUAUCCGGAUUUACUGGGUGUAAAGCGCGUGCAGGCGGUUUGAUAAGUUGGAUGUGAAAGCUCCUGGCUCAACUGGGAGAGGUCGUUC